AGACGGAGGUGGCGAGCGUUAUCCGGAAUUACUGGGCGUAAAGCGUCUGUAGGCGGCUGUGCAAGUCGGUGGUGAAAUCUCCCGGCUCAACUGGGAGGGGACCAUCGAAACUGUGCAGCUCGAGGGCCGGAGAGGGGCAUGGAAUUCCCGGUGUAGCGGUGAAAUGCGCAGAGAUCGGGAGGAACACCAGAGGCGAAGGCGGUGCCCUGGCCGGAGCCUGACGCUGAGAGACGAAAGCGUGGGGAGCGAUCGGGAUUAGAAACCCUAGUAGUCCC
rnacentral:rRNA from 1 species